rnacentral:rRNA from 1 species
CUGGCUCAGGAUGAACGCUGGCGGCGUGCUUAACACAUGCAAGUCGAACGAUGAAGACCGUGCUUGCACGGUUGGAUUAGUGGCGAACGGGUGAGUAUCACGUGAGUAACCUUCCCUUAACUCUGGGAUAAGCCCGGGAAACUGGGUCUAAUACCGGAUACGACCAGUCCUCGCAUGGGGUGCUGGUGGAAAGAUUUAUCGGUUUUGGAUGGACUCGCGGCCUAUCAGCUUGUUGGUGAGGUAAUGGCUCACCAAGGCGAUGACGGGUAGCCGGCCUGAGAGGGUGACCGGCCACACUGGGACUGAGACACGGCCCAGACUCCUACGGGAGGCAGCAGUGGGGAAUAUUGCACAAUGGGCGAAAGCCUGAUGCAGCGACGCCGCGUGCGGGAUGACGGCCUUCGGGUUGUAAACCGCUUUCAGCAGGGAAGAAGCGAAAGUGACGGACCUCAAAGA